rnacentral:rRNA from 1 species
GAUGAACGCUGGCGGCGUGCCUAAUACAUGCAAGUAGAACGCUGAAGCUUGGUGCUUGCACCGAGCGGAUGAGUUGCGAACGGGUGAGUAACGCGUAGGUAACCUGCCUCUUAGCGGGGGAUAACUAUUGGAAACGAUAGCUAAUACCGCAUAAAAGACGAUAUCGCAUGAUAUUGAUUUGAAAGAUGCAAUUGCAUCACUAAGAGAUGGACCUGCGUUGUAUUAGCUAGUUGGUGAGGUAACGGCUCACCAAGGCGACGAUACAUAGCCGACCUGAGAGGGUGAUCGGCCACACUGGGACUGAGACACGGCCCAGACUCCUACGGGAGGCAGCAGUAGGGAAUCUUCGGCAAUGGGGGCAACCCUGACCGAGCAACGCCGCGUGAGUGAAGAAGGUUUUCGGAUCGUAAAGCUCUGUUGUAAGAGAAGAACGAGUGUGAGAGUGGAAAGUUCACACUGUGACGGUAAC